CCUUAACCCACUGAGGCAGGCCAGGGAUCAAACCUGAGUCCUCAUGGAUAUUAGUCAGGUAUGCUACGGCUGAGCCACAACAGAAACUCCUUCAUAUGCUUUUAUACUGACAAGCCUCCUAAUGCAGCCCUGCUUCCGUGACCAUCAUGCUUUCAAGGACUAAGAAACUCGGAGAAGGUACCUGGCCCGGGAUCACCCAGCAAGAAAGCCACAGAACCAGAAUCCGAACCUUCCAGUCUGUUUUUACCGUUGCACCCCUACCUCUUUCUAGACCAAGCAGCAGGAGACAUUUUUUAUAAAAAUCUGUAUCUGUCUCUCUGAGAACAUUAGAAACCAAAAAGAAAAGACAUCCUUUGAGCUGCUUUAGUAGACAGCUUGUGUAUUUCUGAAUCCCAGCACCCAGUUUCUUGCUCAGGCCUGCCAGGCUUCAGCUCAAGUCUCACUGAACGCCAUACCUGCGUCAGCUCCGUUUGAGCAAAAAAUGAACUCAAGGGAGGAGAUUCCCUGAAUUACACAAUCUGGGAAGCUUUCUGGUUACGAAAGCAAAUGUACACGUGGAAAGGAAGUUAAAGUUCCUUAAAACACUCGAGGCCUUGGCACUCAGGGUCCCCCAGAAGUGGCGGGCACUGCGACCAGACCCAGCCCAGGCGCCGUCCACUCUAAGGCCACCACGCAGGCUCCAGCCACUUGCAGAGCCACCUGAGAGCAUGUGAGGACUUCCCACACGAGCCCCUGCACCCAUCCUGGGACAGAGCCAGGAAGGGAAGGAAAAGCUGCCUUGACCCCCGAAAGGCUUGUUUGCUUACUGUUAAAAUAUUACAUGUUACACAAACUGUUGAGUAUUUCAAUGUUUGCUUUUCAGGUAGCAACUGAGUUGGUCCCGAGUGCAUGCCUACUGCGGGCUGCUCAUUUCUGAGAACGCCCCGGAUGGCAUGCGGGCGGGCUUCCUCUGGACACGGCUGUUCCCAUUUGGGAGCACCGUGCUGAGGAGUCCUCCGCCUCCACCGGCUUAUUUUGCGACGUUUUUGUCAUAGGUGGGACUGCGUCCUCCAGUUUCCAUGCGCCUGCACAAAGCACGUUUUCAUUUCUGCAUAUGCAGGACAGAGCGGUGUUAAUGCUUCUGGAGAGGCUGCUGUGGAGCGGGCCUCAAGGCCGGUGAGCAGAGCGUGCAGGACCCGGGGCAGGACCCACACUGUUAGGGAGUGUGUCCUGUCCGAUCCUGAGCUCUGCGCAUCUCCUCCCAUGAAGCCUAAGUCUGCGCAGUCCCCGGGGAAGGCGUGGGGUGCUCUCACUACAGCCGCAGGCAGAUCCCGCGGUCACCCUCAGAGCAGACGGCCAUAGCUCUGCCCUCUACACCGCAGGCCUGGAACGGAACGGCCUUGUUGGUGGCACUGGCCGGGACUCGGCACUUUCCCUGAGGACCAAGGCCCGCACCUGUGGCAGAUGCAAGUUCUUGGACUAGAGGUAGACUCCGAGUCACAUCUGAGACCUACGCCCAUGGCAGCACAGGAUCCUCAACCCACCGAGCAGGGCCAGGGAUUGAGCCUGUGUUUUUAUGGAUUUGAGUCAGGUUUGUUUCUGCUGAGCCACAAUGGGAAACUUUUCCCAUUGACAAGUGCAGGAGCGUGUCAGGUAGCCUACUGAUUUUAAGCCGAUGCACUCAAAUCUGUCCCUUUGGGCAAGAGAUGACCAUGCGUGAGGGUUACAGGUUUCCAAAUAAUUGGAGCCAAGAAGAAAGUGUCUACAGAGAGCAGGUGUUUGGGGCUGUUUCCACAGCUGCGCAGCUGUACCGCCGAGGAUGUGGCCAGAGCAUCACCCCCAGGAGCACUGACACCUGCGCACCAAAGCCUUGGGAACCCCCAGUCCCACCUCCCCUGACGGCCCCUGAGCAUCAGCCAGCCCAGGCCAUCAAAGGCCCUUGCACGAGUGGCAGGUGGGGUUGAAACACAAGCUGCCUGCCUUCCUGAGGUGCGUCGUGUUUACCUGUGAACGCCUCUAGGACGAGAAACUGAAAUAAGCGGGACUCAGAACCAGAUCGUCAAAUGCAGACUCAGGUUUCACCAAGAGUUUAUAAACGGGAUGUGGACUGGGUCACGUGGCUUUCUUUGAAAAACAGCAUUUGUUUUACAACGGACUGUGUUAUCGAUAUGAUGGAAAUUUAAUCACGGUCACUUCGCCCCUCGUCUGUUUGAAAGUCUGCAUUGGCGUGUUUCUAUGGCCGUGGUGCUCGGGACGCUCGCAGGGAACUCUCAGAGGACUUAGAGGUGGUGCAAGCUCAAUCUCUUUUACAGAUAGCAGUGCACAGGAACAAAGCUCGUAGGCAACUUAUUAACACGAACAGCCCUUACCUAGAUGGGAACGGAUCCACAAGCCUCAGCCACUGUUUAAGAUCCCCAUGAGGCCAGGUUCAAGACCAUGGUCAUUUGCAUUGGGAGGCCCAGGUGGAGACCUCGUUUGCAGGUCUCAUGCCCAGUGCCACCACCUGUGCUGUCCUGGGUGAGCACAGCAGGCUUCUUGGGAUCAUGGGGCUCUGAGUUUCCACUGAAGCUCCUGGCAGAGAGCGAUGGGAUGUAUUUUGAAGCCAAAGGUGUGGCCCGAAGGAGAUUCUCAGGAGCAAGUUCCACAGAAUCUGUGCCACGGCCCGCUCUCCUAACCCCCUGCUGCAGCCUCGGUCCCAUUCCCCGUCCCCCAGCCUUCUGCCUCUCUAGGGCUAGGAAAUGAGGUAAUGAGGCAACUGAGAAUCCCCAGAGAGAGGUAACCAUGGAUCUCCUGUAACGAGCAAGGCGGUAAGCUCAUUACUCAGCUCCUGUAUGCCCGCUGACCAAAUCUCUCCAGAUUGGCAAACAACAGGCACUGCCCAAGCCUCCCGGUGCUGCGUUUUGCUUUCCCCAGGGUGUGGGCCCCUCGGCGGUGUUGUCUGCUUGGAAGUAUCACCCUCCAUCCCUGCCUCGACUUUCUGAGGUCCCACCUACCAGUUCCCAGACCAGUCCCAGCCCCUCUGUGAAGCAGCCACUGACAGCCCAGUCUGGCUCACUGGUUCCUUGUCUUGGCCGCACAAUGGAACCUUCUGGUGUGCUUUAGAACAGAAACGGAUGCCUGAGGUCCGCCCCCUGGAGAUUCUGGGCUGUGGUCUGGGCAUGCAACGCUUUCCCUGUGAUUCUAACAUCAGCCGGGGUGAGACCUUCUACUCCUGUCGAAAACCUUCGCUCCACCUCUGCACACGCACAGCAGCUUUUCCGGACGUCUUGUACAGCACUUGUUUCACUCUGUCCUAUGUCACUUACCCGUGCAUUAAUCACCUUAACGGCUCCAUCCUAAGGUCCUCAACUGUGCACACAGCCUUGUCCGUCAUUCUCCCCCGAGUUCUAGAAUGUUCCCCCUCAAGAGACUCAACAGCAGAGGAGUCUACUGCUAUUUCAGGAAGCAGGGAUGGAGAAGAAACUGCCAGCCAGGGAGUCUUACUUGGGCCUUCCCAGUUGAGACAAAAUCAAAACAGGUUCCCUUGGAACUGCCUGGCAUAUGCUCUGCAGAAAACUAGCGACUUUUAAAAAACAACUUGUGCUCCCCUCUCUUGUUCCAAAAGGCUGUUUUAUCAGAAUAGCAGAUCACCCUAGAGAAGGAAUGAUGUCAUCCUGUUUGUUGGAUAUAGUAAAGCCAAUGCUCAAUUUUA